rnacentral:lncRNA from 1 species
AUGUCCAAAGAGCAGAUUCCUUCUUCCGGAUUUCUCCGUGUCAACAUGCCAACGUCCCAUGCUCAUCCCGAGUUUUUUUCCCUCACAUCCCGCUCGGACCAACUUCAUGGAUUAGUCUCUGCUUCAGAACCAAACCGAAUGAACUUCAACCACCCACGGAUAACUCCCAAAGCUUUCCUCCACGUCCUUCCCAGCUCCCGUGUUCCAAAGUCCACAGCCGGAACAGAGCCGAGACCCACGGACCAGCAUUUCGCAUCUCCCCUUGCAUCCCGACUCGGCCACACCCUCAACGUCUUCUGCUAGAUCCCAGUCAAAAUAAGCCUUCCAGAUUUCCUAUCAUCCUUAUCCAAAGCCGAGACCCAUUCCCUGUUUCUGGAUCAGCUCCCAGUUCCGUUCCCAGCACCUCAUCCACGGACGUAAUCCAUCCUUCCGCAUCCAAAGAACCAUCCCAGCCUUCCUCCUCUGCUCCGCGUGUCUUCCCUCCCGUCCGCGAUUCAAGGAUCAUCUCCCAGCCAAACUUCAUCCAGAUCACUUCACAACCACGGAUCUAGCGUCAUCUUCUCCCGCGACCAUGGUUCACUCCGUCCGCAAAGCUCUCCCUAACUCCCACAUCUCCGUAUUCAUCCUCAUCCUCCCGAAUCAUUCGCGGCCGUGUUCAUCUUCCAGCCUUGCAUCUGCUCCCAAGCCAACCGGAUCCCCAACUUCUUCCCAGCACCCCAAUGUCUUCCGGAUCAUCUUCCAAUUCUUCCGUGUCCUUCUCAGCUCCUCUGUUCUACGUCAUUCAAAGAACAGAGCCUAUUCUCCCCUUGUCCGAACCAAACCAGCAACAAAACAGAACCACGGUUGAUUCCAAAGAUCUUCCUCCACGUUUCCUCCCAACUCUUCCGGAUUUCUUCCCAGCUUGCAGCUUUAUUCUCUGUUUCGGAACAAAGACUUUAUCUUCUCCGCUUCAUUCCUUCCACAAUCAAAGCAACCCACUCUCAUCCCUGCUUCGGAUCCCAUCUUCUCUGUGAUCCCAUGCUUUCGUGAUUCCUCCCCUUCAUCCACGUCAAAAGGAAUCCCAAGUAAAUCAGCUUCCCAUAUCUUCCGAAGCUCCUGCAUCCCAAACCGAUCACUCCUUCAUCUAACUGGAUCACUUCAAAUCUACCUCCCGAGAUGAUUGUAUCCCAAACAGCUUCAUCCCAUGGAUUAACAGCUUUGAACUUCAUCAUCCUCCCGAAUCAUUUGCGAUUGAGCUUCAUCUCCCAUCCGAAUCUAAACUCCCGUGAUUCAACCCAGCGACAGCAUUCAACCAUCUCAGCUUACAUCCCCUCCAACUCAUUUUAUCUUCAUCCGAAUCAAGCAAACCAGCCGAGAUCCUCUCAGCCUCACACAAUCCUUUCCUCCCCUGUUUUAGCUUCAAAACGAAGCCAAUCUCCCAUGUCAAAGCUUCCGAUCCAUCUUCCCAGAUUUCAUGGAAACAAAACAGAGCAAGGGAGCUUGAUCUCUAGCAUCCAUGGAUUCUGAACUCCCCGUUAGGAUAAGAUCACAUCCUCCACAGCUCUGCGAUCUAGUUUAUCUUUCCAGAUUCACGGAACAAAUCCCAGUGAAUCUUCAACGCCUCUAAACAAAUCCAGCAGGACUCCAACGCCACGGGUUAGCUUCCCAGCAUCCCAACCAUCCGCCGUGUUC